rnacentral:rRNA from 1 species
AGUGAACGCUGGCGGCAUGCCUAACACAUGCAAGUCGAACGGCAGCACCGUAAGUGCUUGCUCUUACGGGUGGCGAGUGGCGGACGGGUCAGGUAUACACCGGAAUCUACUCUCUCGUGGGGGCUAAUGUAGGGAAAUUUACUCUAAUACCGCAUACGUCCUCCGGGUGUAAGCCGGGGAUCUUCGGACUUUGUGCGAUUGAAUGAGCCGACGUAGGAUCAGCUGGUUGGCGGGGUAAAGGCCCAACAAGGCGACGAUCCGAAGAUGGUCGGAGAGGAUGGUCAGCCACACGGGAAGUGAGACACAGACCAGACUCCUGCGAGAGGCAGCAGUGGGGAAUAUUAGGCAAUGGGCGCGAGCCUGAUCCAGCCAUACCGCGUAGGUGAAGAAGGCGUUCGGGUUGGAAAGCCCUUUUGUUGGGAGAGAAAAGCAGCUGGUUAAUACGCCGCUAUACUGACGGUACCCAAAGAAUAAGCGCCGGCUAACUUCGUG